rnacentral:rRNA from 1 species
AACGCUGGCGGCAGGCCUACACAUGCAAGUCGAGCGCGCCUUCGGGCGAGCGGCGGACGGGUUAGUAACGCGUGGGAACGUGCCCAGAUCUACGGAAUAGCCACUGGAAACGGUGAGUAAUACCGUAUACGCCCUUCGGGGGAAAGAUUUAUCGGAUUUGGAUCGGCCCGCGUUAGAUUAGGUAGUUGGUGGGGUAACGGCCUACCAAGCCUACGAUCUAUAGCUGGUUUUAGAGGAUGAUCAGCAACACUGGGACUGAGACACGGCCCAGACUCCUACGGGAGGCAGCAGUGGGGAAUCUUGGACAAUGGGGGCAACCCUGAUCCAGCCAUGCCGCGUGAGUGAAGAAGGCCCUAGGGUCGUAAAACUCUUUCGCCUGUGAUGAUAAUGACAGUAGCAGGUAAA